rnacentral:rRNA from 1 species
UGCUAUAAUGCAAGUCGAGCGAAUGGAUUAAGAGCUUGCUCUUAUGAAGUUAGCGGCGGACGGGUGAGUAACACGUGGGUAACCUGCCCAUAAGACUGGGAUAACUCCGGGAAACCGGGGCUAAUACCGGAUAACAUUUUGAACCGCAUGGUUCGAAAUUGAAAGGCGGCUUCGGCUGUCACUUAUGGAUGGACCCGCGUCGCAUUAGCUAGUUGGUGAGGUAACGGCUCACCAAGGCAACGAUGCGUAGCCGACCUGAGAGGGUGAUCGGCCACACUGGGACUGAGACACGGCCCAGACUCCUACGGGAGGCAGCAGUAGGGAAUCUUCCGCAAUGGACGAAAGUCUGACGGAGCAACGCCGCGUGAGUGAUGAAGGCUUUCGGGUCGUAAAACUCUGUUGUUAGGGAAGAACAAGUGCUAGUUGAAUAAGCUGGCACCUUGACGGUACCUAACCAGAAAGCCACGGCUAACUACGUGCCAGCAGCCGCGGUAAUACGUAGGUGGCAAGCGUUAUCCGGAAUUAUUGGGCGUAAAGCGCGCGCAGGUGGUUUCUUAAGUCUGAUGUGAAAGCCCACGGCUCAACCGUGGAGGGUCAUUGGAAACUGGGAGACUUGAGUGCAGAAGAGGAAAGUGGAAUUCCAUGUGUAGCGGUGAAAUGCGUAGAGAUAUGGAGGAACACCAGUGGCGAAGGCGACUUUCUGGUCUGUAACUGACACUGAGGCGCGAAAGCGUGGGGAGCAAACAGGAUUAGAUA